AUGCCUAUGGGUUUACUUGAAGCACCCGGUACCUUCGUGAGAGUUAUGCAUUACGUGCUUCACCGUUACAUUGGUGUGUUCGUUGUAGUUUACUUUGACGAAAUUCUUGUGUUUAGAAAAUCCCUCAAGGAACAUGUAGAUCAUCUUAGGGCCGUUUUGCAAACACUUAGAAAAGAGCGUCUUUAUGCCAAUAUGGAAAAAUGCACAUUUGGCGUUGACAAGAUUAUUUUCUUGGGCUUUGUUGAGUCUUCAAAGGGUGUUCAUGUAGAUGAGUCUAAAAUUGACGCAAUUAAAACUUGGCCCCAACCAACUAAUUUGCAACAAGUGCGUAGUUUCCUUGGUCUAGCGGGUUUUUAUCGUCGCUUUGUGAAAGACUUUAGCACUAUUGUCGCACCGUUGCAUGCUUUGAGUAAGAAGAACACACCUUUUGUUUGGAGACCUUUGCAAUCUACCGCAUUUCAUGAGCUCAAGUCUUUGCUUACACAUGCCCCAAUUCUUGCAUUACCUAAUUUCAACAAAACUUUCGAGGUUCACUGUGAUGCUAGUGGUCAUGGAAUUGGUGGUGUUUUGAUGCAAGAAAAGCAACCCAUUACAUACUUUAGUGAAAAACUCUCCGGUGCUCAACUUAACUAUCCCAUAUAUGACAAAGAAUUGUAUGCUUUAGUGCGAGUAUUACAUGUUUGGGAGCAUUAUCUUCGCCCACAUGAAUAUUUCAUACACACCGAUCAUGAGACACUAAAGUACCUCAAGGGUCAAACCAAGUUGAAUAAGUGGCGUGCUAAAUGGAGUGAAUUUAUUGAAUCUUUUCCUUAUGUGAUCAAGUACAUUAAGGGCAAAGAAAAUUUGGUGGCAGAUGCUCUUUCCCGCAUAUGCAUGCUAGUUACUCAAUUUGAACUAAAUGUGAUUGGCUUUGAGCAUAUUAAAGAUCUUUAUUAG
rnacentral:rRNA from 1 species